UCAUCUUGAAGUCCAUUAACAUUAGGCAUAUUUGUAUCCCAUAGUAUCGAUAUUCUCCCAUUUCUAGCUUCAUUGUAAUUUGUUAGAAUUCCCCAUCCAGGAACCAGCAGCUUAGCAAUUCUAUGAGCAUUUGCCUUUUUAACCUUAGUUUCUACCAAUACAACUAGGUUUAUUCUAUUGCUUCUAAUAUACUCCCUAACUUCCUACUGUUUUUAACUUUUAUUUACACCUAUAAUAUUCUAGAACAACCACUUCAUUGUUGAUUACUUAGUCCACAUGUAUCCCCCGAUGGCACUUCAUACUUGCCAUUGAACAUUGCUUCAAACCUAUUACUCACAGGAAUGGAUGAUAAGGGAGGAAAGUUAAUGAAAUUGAAUUAUGGGCUUUGUACUUUUUUCCCUUUAUCUUCCUGUUUCUCCAUAGUUGGUAUCAGACUUGGUAGCUCAUUGCACUCUUUAGGGAUCUGACCUUCAUUCAUCUCAUUUAUUGUAGCAAGUUGUGGUGCUGAUACUGUUGUUUCUUUUUUAAUAGGAGCGACAGUUACAGGGGCCUUGAUUCUCCAUUCCUAUGUAACUUUUGCUUUCUUCAGUUGAUUAGGUUGGUGUGUAUGGGUUGAACACAUGUGGCCUACAAUUUGACAUUUCUCACAAAAGGAAGGUUUCCAAUCGUAUCACAUCUUGUAAGAACUUCUUCCCAUUUGGUUCCAUCACCUGUAUUUCACUUGGCAGUUCUUUGGUGACAUUAAUCUCUAUAAGUAUCCGAGCAUGGGAGACUCUAGUUUGUUUAGUUGUGCAUUCAUCAGCAAAAAUAGGCUUCCCUAACACACUGGCAAUCCUACUUAAUGAUCUCAUUCCCCAGCAAGACAUAGGGAGCUAAGGAAACUUAACCCCCAGUGGGAUAUCAGUAGGGAAUUCCUCAGUGAAAUCAAAUUCAGGGGUCCAUGGUUUGAGAAUUAUAGGUCUGUUAGCUAUAGAAUAAGGUCCAGCACAGAGGAUUUCCUUAGCGUCUUCCAUUGUUUUGAAUCUGUAUGUAAUAACGUUCAUCAUGGUAGAAUAGAUCUGGUUCUGGUACGUGUGACCAGUGAAGGUUAAUAUAUCUCUUCAUCACAUUAAACCCUGGUCCAUCUCCUAAAACAUAGGCAAUUAACGCACAUUUCCACUUCUUCUUUUCCUCCUCUACCUCUAAUUUAUUUAAUUGCACUAUUGGUUGCCCAUCU
rnacentral:lncRNA from 1 species